AUUGAACGCUAGCGGCAUGCCUUACAUAUGCAAGUCGAACGGCAGCGGGGGAGCUUGCUCCCGCCGGCGAGUGGCGAACGGGUGAGAAAUACAUCGGAACGUACCCAGUAGCGGGGGAUAGCCCGGCGAAAGCCGGAUUAAUACCGCAUACGCCCUACGGGGGAAAGGGGGGGACCGCAAGACCUCUCACUAUUGGAGCGGCCGAUGGCUGAUUAGGUAGUUGGUGGGGUAAAGGCCUACCAAGGCGACGAUCAGUAGCUGGUCUGAGAGGACGACCAGCCACACUGGGACUGAGACACGGCCCAGACUCCUACGGGAGGCAGCAGUGGGGAAUUUUGGACAAUGGGCGAAAGCCUGAUCCAGCAAUGCCGCGUGCGCGAAGAAGGCCUUCGGGUUGUAAAGCACUUUUGUCAGGGAAGAAAUCGUUUGGGUUAAUACCCCGAGCAGUUGACGGUACCUGAAGAAUAAGCACCGGCUAACUACGUGCCAGCAGCCGCCGUAA
rnacentral:rRNA from 1 species